UAGGGAAUAUUGCGCAAUGGAGGAAACUCUGACGCAGCGACGCCGCGUGAGUGAUGAAGGCCUUCGGGUCGUAAAGCUCUGUCGCAAGAGACUAAGAAAGUGAAUGUAUCUUGCAAGAAAGGAUCGGCUAACUUCGUGCCAGCAGCCGCGGUAAGACGAGGGAUCCUAGCGUUGUUCGGAAUCAUUGGGCGUAAAGCGGGUGUAGGUGGCUUUGUAAGUCAGGUGUGAAAUCCCAGGGCUUAACCCUGGAAGUGCAUUUGAUACUGCAAAGCUUGAGUGUAGGAGAGGUUACUAGAAUUCCUGGUGUAGUGGUGAAAUACGUAGAUAUCAGGAGGAAUACCGGAGGCGAAGGCGGGUAACUGGCCUAACACUGACACUCAGACCCGAAAGCGUGGGGAUCAAACAGG
rnacentral:rRNA from 1 species